AGGCCGUCCACGUCAUCCUUUUAUUUGCGGCCGUCCGAUUCGCCAUCUGAUGGCUCCCGACGUCCGUCGCCUGCUUCUCUUUAUACCAAUGUGUCUUCCCUCGUCAACAUGGCUGGGUCUCUCUCCCUCUCCGCCUCUCUCUCUCUCUGGCCUCCUUGCCGCCCCUCCACUCCGCGGAGGCCACGGGGUCCCCUCCUUCUCGCGGCCGCCCCUCUCCUCCUCGCGGGCCAGAGCCACCUCGUCGCGCCUCCUCGCGGCGCGCUGCGACCGGGCCUCGAUCCGCGCCGCCCUCCUCCUCCCUUCGCCCACCGGCUUAGCCAUGGCGCGCGCACGAGCGUCUCCGGCCGGCGAAGUGCGGGCCUCGAGCUCCCCAGCGGCGCCCCUCUCUCCCUGCUCCGCUCCCUCUGCGAGCCCGUGUAGCAUCCUUCCUCCUCCCUCCCUCCGGCGCAUCCGGCCUCGAGCUCGCUGGAUCCGCGCGGGUCCACGGCGGCGGCCGCCGGAUCCACAUGGGGCGCGGCGGCUCCCUCCCGCCGGCCCCUCCCUCUCCGGCCGGCUCCUCGUCCCUCCCUCUCCGCAACUACGGCGCCGGUGCCCCUGCUCCCACGCGCGCGGCCCCCUGGAACCCUCGCCGGCGGCGCGGGUCGGCAGCCACGUGACGGGGCAGGCGUGUGGUGGACAUGCGCGGUCCACUGCCUGCAGCUCCCUCCCCGGCGGAUUCCGUGGCGACAGCGCCGGAUUCCGCGGCGACGGCGGCCGCCCGGCGUGGGCGCGCGUCGGCGCGGGAUGGACGCGGCGGCCCGGAUCCCGGAUCCCGGCUGCGGCCCCCGGCGUGCGACGGCGGCGAGGACCCGGCGGCGCGCGACGGGGAGGGGCUCCAGGGGCUCCUGGCGACGCGCGGUGACCCCCGGCCCCACGGUGGCGCUGCAGGAGGCCGCUGCGGCGCGGAUCCGGUAGUAGGCUGGCGUGCGCGGGAGCGCCGCCCGUGUCCGAGCCGCCUGCGGCGAUAUGGCAGGGGCCUCGCUGGCGGCCUACACGGCGGCGGCUCCCCGGCUGCUCCGGAUCCAGUGGCCUCCCCGGCGGCUCCCCGGCGGCUCCCUGUGCAGAUCAAUCGACCGCGGGGGCCCGGUGUUCGUGGCCGUGUACCAGCCCGUGUAGACGCUGGUGGCGGCCGAGGAGCGGAUCCAGCGGCGCCUCGGCUCCUCUCGUCGGCGAACGCGAUUCCGGUCGGGGUGGCCAUGGACACCGCCUGCAUUGCGACCCCACCUCGUUCACCAUCCUCCACCACGAUGACGUCGGCGGCCUCCAGGUCUGCGCCGCCGGACGCUAGCGCUCCAUCUGCCCCCACGCCGGCGCCCUGGUCGUCAACAUCGGCGACACCUUCAUGGCGCUCUCCAACGUCAGCUACAGGAGCUGCCUGCACCAGGCCGUCGUCAACAUCCGCGUACCGCACCGCUCGCUGGCCUUCUUCCUCUGCCCGGAGAUGACAAGGUGGUGCGGCCGCCGGGGGAGCUGGUGGAUGCGCGCAACCCGCGGGCGUACCCGGACUUCAUGUGGCGGGCGCUGCUAGACUUCACCAUGAGGCACUACAGGGCGGACAUGAGGAUGCUCGAGGCAUUCUCCAGCUGGAUCGUCCGCCAUGGCCACCAUGCACCUCUGAAUCUCUGAAUGCUACUGCCUGCAUGCACAGGCACCUCUGAAUCUCCUCACAUGCACCUUUGAAUCUCUUAAAGAUGUGCAUUUCAUGAUAUUUAGGUAUCAGCAAAACGGAUGUUUCUAUGACUUUCAUAUAAUAUGCAUUACACAGGCUAAAGUGCUGAGCCGAUUCUGAAUUUUUGUAGCGAAGUGACAAAGUUAUAUGCUCAUGGAUGGCAUUUGAUGGGACCAGAUCGAAACCAUGUACCGUUUUGCCUUUUUGUUGCUGCUUCGUGUACUCCUGUAGUGGUAGAUUAGGUAUAGAGUAUAAAUGUGUCUUUUUGUCAAAAAUAAUUAUUUAGCCUGUAUCUCUGAACUCGAUGCUCUUUCUUUUGCUUGGAAGCAGCAGCUUUUGCAUGUGUCAAUCUUAAGGAUUGUGCUGUUGAGUGGCCACUGUGAAUCAUUCCAUACUUUCCUUGCCUGCAUAGCAACUCAAUGUUGACAAAUGAUGCUCGUUUUUUUUCUUCCAUCAGUUUUCUUACCUUAGUGUUUUCUGACUGGAAAAAAAUUCUUGUGUAGAUUGCUACCCAUUGUUUUCUUCGGUUUGUCAUGGUCAGCUUCAAGCUGUACUCCAUUGGAUGCGAGUACAAGCCGAUUUGGAUUCAAUUUUUUAAUUCCAAACAAAAAAAAUGAAAUAUCGUCCAAUGCCUCUGCAAAUACAGAGUUCCUUGUACGCGUUGCUGUGGAAUCCUCAUCCUGCUCCGGGCUGACGAAGUUGAGUGAACCCAGUGGACUCCUUUUCAGAUUUGCUUACGCUGCCAGGAAAGAAAAAAAAAAAGGUAUGUUCUACUGCUACGCUCUUGUUGAUCCUUCUAAAGCAUUCCAUUGUUCCCUCACGCUGCCAAAAGUAAGCAAAUGCUGCAUCCUAUUUAAGUCUUAUCUUUUACUGAUGGUGCAUUCGCCAUUUGUGGCCACGAUUUGUAAUGUCUCCUCUACAAAUGUUCUCAUGCUGACUUAAAAUCACAAAUCAUUUAUACAUAGGCCUAUUACCUCCCCAUCAUGCCGACUAAGAUUUUCCUAAACUAGGUAAUGGCUCUUCGUACAUCCCUGUUAACUCCUAUCCUUCUGAAAAUCGACAAAAAAACGUAGGAAAUACAUCCUCCAGAAGAGGUUAACACAUGCAGGUACCAACUUUCAGUAACCGAAGAAUCCAUGUUGCUGCAGCAGACGACCAGCAAGGUUGCAGGAGAUGCUCACCUGUUCCCUGUGUCUGAAUAUGAAACUCCUACCCUGAGUGCUUCAGUUGCAACAUCUUCCUCUAAGCAGCAUCUCACAGAUAACCAGAAAAGAAUGCCUCGUCCUAGCAUUUACAUGACUUAUUCUCCAUUCAGGUAUAUGUUCGCAGCGGCUCGUUUCCAGGUCCGUGAAAACCCAUUUAGUAACCGGACAAGCAGAAAUAUCCGUUAACCUCAAUGCUGAAACAAGUUUGAAAGUUCCUUCUGACUCGACCACAGAUGCCCACCUUCCUCCUUUAUACAUCCAGCACCUCUAUUUCCUUUUUUUCUUAAUCUCACAUAUAUUGGUGUUGCUCCUAUUUGAUACUUUAAGGACUAAUUUGAGCCUUGGAGCAAAGUUGAAGGAUUAUUUGACUAUUUUACCUAUUUUUAAUGUGCUUUACUGCAGUUGUAUUCUUCUUAGCUUGCAAAUGAAAUCGUGGUCCACAGCUCCAUCGCAACAGCAUCUUUGCCUGAAUAUUAUCGUAGUUGAUGCCUUCAUGGUGCUUACAUAUUGCUGGGUACUAUGCUACAAGCAGCUCUUUACACAACGACCAAAUAAGAAGCUUAGCAUAGCACCAAUUUUUGGGAGCUAUUUAUUUACAAUUAUGCUCCUACAAACAGUUGCAGGCUGUGACUGUUUAAAGCAGAUUAUUUUGAAUUGAAAUGUCUGCAUGGUUCAGAUUUGAACCUUAACCUAGCUGAAAGAGGUCAGCUGUUUUAUUUUGCAGAGGUCAUCUGUUUUAUUUUGCAGUAUUAUCUACAGCCGUUCGUCUUUGCAUUCCAAUUUUUUGCAAGACGCAUUCCCCUUGACCGGGUAACUUUUGUAUAUUGUUCUUUUGCAGAUAUAUCAUUUCCAGCAACAAACAUUUUUUUUUCAAGAAACACUGAGCGCGCGCGCGACCGCUUAAUGAUUGUACUGUAAAUUGUGGUUCCAGUCGAGGUUGUAUUGCAGACUUUCCAGGACAUUGUGUACAAUCUAAUGCUGAACUAAUAUACGGCUCCUACUCAGCUCCUUUA